UCGGGCCAGGCUUCAUCCCCC
rnacentral:miRNA from 1 species